rnacentral:rRNA from 1 species
AGAGUUUGAUCCUGGCUCAGGACGAACGCUGGCGGCGUGGAUUAGGCAUGCAAGUCGAACGGUAUAAACCUUUCGGGGUUUAGAGAGUGGCGAACGGGUGAGUAACACGUAGGUAAUCUACCCUCAAAACGGGGACAACCCAGGGAAACUUGGGCUAAUACCGGAUGCGUGCAAGCAAUGUUUUGGUUGUUAAUGCUAUUCACGGAAGUGAGUAGUGUUAAUGGUUGAGAGCAUUAUUUGCAUAAAAGGUGGCAUAUGCUGCCGUUUGAGGAUGAGCCUGCGUCCUAUUAGUUAGUUGGUGAGGUAAUGGCUUACCAAGGCGAUGAUAGGUAGGCGGCCUUAACGGGUGGUCGCCCACACUGGGAUUGAGAGACGGCCCAGACUCCUACGGGAGGCAGCAGUCGAGAAUAGUCUACAAUGGACGGAAGUCUGAUAGUGCGACGCCGCGUGAACGAAGAAUCCCUUCGGGGUGUAAAGUUCUUUUAUACGUGAGCAGUGCCCUUUAUAUGAAUAGUAUAGAGGGAGGGAUUUAAGCGUAUGAAUAAGCAACGGCUAACUCCGUGCCAGCAGCCGCGGUAACACGGGGGUUGCAAGCGUUGUCCGGAAUUACUAGGCGUAAAGUGCAGGUAGGCGGAUAGAUAAGUUUAAGGUUAAGGGCUACGGCUUACCCGUAGUAAGGCGUUAGAUACUGUUUAUCUGGAAUGCGGUUGAGGGAGACAGAAUUCCUGGUGUAGCGGUGGAAUGCGCAGAGAUCAGGAGGAAUACCGAAGGCGAAGGCAGUCUUCUAAGCCGAUAUUGACGCUAAACUGCGAAGGUGUGGGGAUCAAACGGGAUUAGAUACCCUGGUAGUCCACACAGUAAACGAUAAUCACUAGGUGUUGGGUUCGUAUAGGACUCGGUGCCGGGGCUAACGCGAUAAGUGAUUCGCCUGGGGGAGUACGAUCGCAAGGGUUGAAACUCAAAUGAAUUGACGG